GUGAACGCUGGCGGCAGGCCUAACACAUGCAAGUCGAGCGGCAGCGGGUCCUUCGGGAUGCCGGCGAGCGGCGGACGGGUGAGGAAUGCAUCGGAAUCUGCCCUGUCGUGGGGGAUAACCUAGGGAAACUUAGGCUAAUACCGCAUACGACCCACGGGUGAAAGCGGGGGAUCGCAAGACCUCGCGCGAUAGGAUGAGCCGAUGUCCGAUUAGCUAGUUGGCGGGGUAAAGGCCCACCAAGGCGACGAUCGGUAGCUGGUCUGGGAGGAUGAUCAGCCACACUGGGACUGAGACACGGCCCAGACUCCUACGGGAGGCAGCAGUGGGGAAUAUUGCACAAUGGGCGCAAGCCUGAUCCAGCCAUGCCGCGUGGGUGAAGAAGGCCUUCGGGUUGUAAAGCCCUUUUGUCCGGGAAGAAAUCGUCUGGGCUAAUACCCCGGGCGGAUGACGGUACCGGAAGAAUAAGCACCGGCUAACUUCGUG
rnacentral:rRNA from 1 species